rnacentral:rRNA from 1 species
UACAGGGGGGGCAAGCGUUGUUCGGAAUACUGGGCGUAAAGCGUGCGCAGGCGGUUUUGUAAGCCAGAUGUGAAAUCCCCGGGCUUAACCUGGGAAUGGCAUUUGGGACUGCAAGGCUGGAGUGUGGCAGAGGAGACUGGAAUUCCUGGUGUAGCAGUGAAAUGCGUAGAUAUCAGGAGGAAUACCGAUGGCGAAGGCAGGUCUCUGGGCUGACACUGACGCUCAUGCACGAAAGCGUGGGGAGCAAACAGG